ACAUGCAGAUUCUAUGUAAUGAUUGCAACUGGGGCAGGAUGGCCCUGUAUUACUCCUAGUUUUGCUGGCUGCAGGUCUUCUGAAAUCAAGGGCAUGGAUCGGGGAGACCAGGAACCUGUUUUAGAAAUAGUACCAGCUUGCAGGUUGAGUUCAUCCACCCCACAGUGGUGAGGCCCUUAAAGUUCAGCACCCAGGAAUGCUCAGCAGAUACUUCUUCUUGUGUAAGAGCUGGAAAUGUGACAACCACACUGAUUUCAAAGCGUUUGGCUCAUGCUGAUCGCACUGCAGUAAGUGGGGGUCACUGGAGAGACGGCGGUUCUGGGAAGGGAAAGAGAUGGAGGGCAGAAGAGAGGAGGAUACCAGCUGGAGCCUGUACUAUACCACAUGGCCUCAGAAGCAGGCAGCAAAGUAAACUGAGAGGAAAUCUGAGUAGCAAAAUCUAUGAUGAAGCUAUGGCAAGAGGGAACAUAACUGUGAUUAUAGCUCCCAGUUUCCCUGAAAACCUGUGCUGGGAUUCCAGUGUUUCCAACUUCAUGGAGCUUGGAGAGGAUGGUACCAUCAAUAUGAAACCAAGUGAACAAAAUUACCCAAAUAACAAUCACCAAUAAAUCACUUUUUUGGAGAAGACAGGAGAGGAGAGAGGGUCAGAGGACACCCAAAGCAAGAGGCACAAAGCUCCAAAAACCCAUUUUGGACUUGCUCUCCAAAGAGCUCUGCAUUUCAUUAGCACUCUGCAAAGCAGCACAUCCAGUUCUGGCAUGGGGGGUGGGGGGUUUCUUAUGUCGGGCGCAGAAAUUAUAAACAGAAGACAAGCUGGAGAACAAGCUGCUUGCGCUUGUUACUGCAUCUCUGCACUGGCCCCAAUCUGACCUCACCUUCUUGGGUUUAUUGGCUUGGGGCAGGCCAGCAAUAGUGCUCUAACACCUGGACCCCUCGGCCUCACUGCCAAGGACCUGUCAACUCCAAAUUACCAGACAUCUCCUAGCUAGCUUGGUGACCUUGCCAAGGUGAAGUACCCCCAGCUUGGCUACCAAUCCCACUGCUGUAGCAAGGUUUUUCCUAACACAUUGCUCCAUGAGACACCCCUACUGGCAACCAAAUUUCAAAGAUAGCUCCUGCCUUUCAGUGGUUGGUAGCAUAUUAAUGAGAGAUCAGCCUCGGUAUGCCCAGCCCAGCCUUUAAGGUGAAGCUCCCAGGUCUUCUACGUGUCUUGUCAGCAAACUGAACUCUACCUUUCCCUGGCAAACUUCCCUUUAUCCUCUCUCUUCCUGGCAGCAUCCCCUCCCUGUGCCAUCAGUCUUAUCCAGACAAACAAUGAGCCUGUGUGUCUCCUAGAAGAGCAUGAAGAGGCCAAGGUUAGGGAUUCUUGUGGGCAAAGCAACCCAUCUCUUCUCCCUGCUAGAGAAAGCUCCAGUGGAGUAGCAUGAGCAAGCUCUAUCUCCCUUGCAGCUCAGCAUACCAAUUGCACCCAAACCUGGCAACAGAGCAUGGGGUAGCACAAGAGUCAGUGCUUCAAAAGAGAGGGAAGCCUCCCUCUCUCCACUUUAACUAACAUACUCCUGAAGCAUCGUGGGCAGGCACAGCAUGCUGCAGACAGAUGCAAGUCCUGAGGAACGUGCCAGGGCCAGGGUGAAGAGCUGGACCCUUACCUUCAAUCAAGGUUUAAUUAUGCUCACUACAGGGCAGAAGAAUUUGUAUAAAGCACUACUGUCCCUUCUCUGCCCCCAAACGCAGGGAGCUUUUUGCAAGUCCCCUGUCAAGCUUUUAGUCCCCCUGUCCAUUAAGCAAGUGGCCUAGGAUUUAAACCUUCCCAGGAUCUCUGUAGCACUUCCCCCACCCCACAAGCUCUCGGACUGCUCCAGCUUUCCCUAAAGUAGGCAGCCAGCUGUGCUCUCCAGUCAAGGGAGUGGCAGAGUCAGGAAUGCAGCCCCCCACCCAGCCUUCCUUCUCCCUCCCCACAGCUCCCUGGAUUCCAGAGUGUUGAGUCAAGCCGUGCAAGGAUGCUGCAGCAGUGAAUAGAUAUUCCCUCAAUAGGUAAAAAAAAAAAAAGGAUGUGUGUGCAGGGUCAUCUCAGGCCAUUCUUUCAGCCAGUCGCUGGAGCACAUCCAAAAGGGGAGAAUACAUCCAAAGCUAAACCCAGUCUCUUUACACCUCCACCCCACCCACGCCUGUUCUGUCCAGUGCCUUGGCUGGAAACAUUAGCUGGCUGGUAUCCCAUGAGAUGCAUAUGUAUUCAUCCCUCUAAAGGAUGAGAUGAUUCACGCCAUUAACACUCCCUUACUGUUCAGAGCAUGACUGCCUCCCUCCAGAAGGUAUCCCUAAUUAGAGCAAUAGCUCACACACUGGGGGCUGGAACUAGUGAUCAGUCAUUACCAAUUACAGUAUGGGUAAAGUGAAAGCAAAGCCUUCCCUUCCAUCCUUCCCACCUUGGAAGAAUGACCCCACUUCCCAUUGCAAACUCACUUCUUAUAUCAGGAGGAAGGAUUGUUAAGAGUGCAUUCCUUUCCCAAUCCAAGGCCUUUGGUGAUCAUCACAGUGCAAACCCAUUACUCCAGGUAGGGAAACUGAGGUACUAGGAUGUGCCAUCACACAGUGGAUCCAUUCAGAGAGGGAGAUAGAUCUGCCUCCCUCCUACUUUCCUUUGUGCAUGAAGGACUGGGAAGUAAACAUACACAACAGGGAGCUGAAAACGUGCCUGUUGUAAGAUAGAUAAGAGCACUUCCACAAAACAAAGUCAACCAACUUGGCUCACCAAGCCAAAGGCCACUUAAAAUAGUGCCCAUGUAGCUGUGGUCUAACAUGAGCUAAGUUACAUGUGUACAUGACUUUUCUCCCUGCAUUGGUAAACCCACACAAAAAUAUUAGCAAAGCAGUGAAGCAAUGGCAGCAAAGCCUUUUAAAGUCUCUCAUCACCAUUGCUAUUAUAGGAAUGCAAAGAUUCUGCCAUAUUAGUAUUGUGUCAUAUCUUUAGACUUAAGUGGUUUCCAAAAGACUCACCCAACUCUUCAAGUGAUGCAAGUUUUUAUUUUUAUCUGGUUUAUUUACAUUUGCCUCUGCGCUCACUGGACAUUCACACAAGUCAUAUUUGGACUGCUGCCUAUUCUUUAUGCUUAUUCAUCCCUGAGGCUUAGUUCUGGUUUAUGCCACCUCCUUCAGCUUUCCAGCAAACUAAGUGCAAUGACAUGUACAGAACAGAGAGCACAGAGCAAGGAAUUUCAGGCAAAAGAGCUGAAGAAAUAUAGACCGUUUUUGUACCCAGGUGUUUGCAGGAACAGAAAAAGCUAUUAGAAAGAGCCAGAGGUAAACUUCUAAAUCAAUUGUUGCCAUUGGCCAUCAAUUUCUUUAGCCUUCCCAGUUGUAUGGGGAGCCUGCAGUUUAGUUUAUCAUCACCAUCCUUCUUCUGUUUGCUCCAGCUCCCAGGAGAACAAAGCACACCAGCCCCUGCCCCCUUUAACAAGGGUAUAAAGGAUUUACUGAAAACGUCUGUACAAAUAGAUGGAUCACAAGCUGAAGUGCUACAGGCAUCCCAAGCUGUCUAGUUGCCAAUUGAGUUUUUCCAUCUGCAGAAUGUAUUAAUAUUUUAAAAUAAGAAGUCUGG